CAGAGCAUUUUGGGCAUGUUUUUUUCCCUGUAGUUAUGUGUUUUACAGUCUCAUUGCUGCACUAACGUUCUCACAUUAUCUGUCAGUUUGAGCUUGUCAACAUGACAGUUGUCAUCAUAAUUACUGUCACACUGAUCACUUUCUCAGGAUUUUCUCAUAGUAACAAAGUUGACCAGUCUCCAUCUGACUUGAUUCGAAGACCAGGAGAAUCUGCAAAGAUCCAGUGUUUGCACAGCGUGAGCGGUUACAAUCAAAUCAACUGGUACAGACAAAAACAGGGCCAGGAGUUCACAUUCAUGGGAUAUUUACUUCGAGCAGGACCAAACCCAGAAAAAGAGUUCACUGAAAAAAUAGACAUGUCUGGGAAUGGAAAUAGCAAUGGAUCUUUGAUCAUUAAAAAUCUCCAAUCUAGUGACAGUGGAAUGUAUUUUUGUGCUGCUUAUCACACAGUGUUUUAG